rnacentral:lncRNA from 1 species
CUUAUUGGCUUUUUUUUUUUUUUUGAGAGAGAGGAGGAGGAGGAGGCAGGCUCCCUGCUGAGGACCCUGGGAUCAUGACCUGAGCCAAAGGCAGAGGCUUUAACCACUGAGCCACCCAGGUUGCUGAGAUACUUUCUUCAUUUCCAGCAGUUGGAUCAAAAAAGGACAAGAAU